ACUGCUGGCUGCGGUGGUUUCUGGUUGCCAUACACAGAGGCAAACAAAGCCCAGGCCACGCGGGGGGAGCCCCGCCCAGCGCCGGCCCGGGCUCCGGUUUCCCACACCUCGCAAGCCCGGCCCCGUGGAGCCAGGUCACCUCGGGAUGUUUUCCUCCGCAGGCUGCCUUCUGGGGAGCAGGUGGGAGGGCUGCCCACCUCUGGGGACUUUUUGGGGGGCUCUUAGGAGAACAGCCUCUGGGGCCCGAGGAGCCUCUCCCCCCUUUUAUCAGCUCAGAGGUAGCUUUUUUCUCUGGAAAACAAAGGGUGCACACGGUGAUAGCACCAAGCAGGAAAAACUGCUCUGCUAAGGAAAAUACCUUAAAUGCACCUUUUUCUUGGCUGUGGCUUUUUAAGCUAAGCAACAGGUCCACUCAUUCAUUCAUUCAUUCAUUCAUUCAACAAAUCUUUACUGACACCCUAGACCCAGGGACACUUUGGUGCAAGACAAGGUUCCUACUCUCCAGUAGCUAAUAACGGGGGGAGGGGGGGGAGAGGGGAAGAGGGCAAAAUAUAAAUAAGAUAAUUAAGAAAUAAGAUGAAGAGGAAGGCUGUGAAGGUGGAAUGAUAAAGGGGGAACCUCCUUUAGGUUUUGGUGAUCAGGGAGGAGUGAAGACCUGAGAACUACAACGGGCUUGUGUAUUUGAGAGGUGAGCUGGGAAGAGAGUUCCCUGCCAGGAAAGCUGCAAAGACUUGAGGUUUGCGGGGGGAUCUUCGUGGACCACGAGAUAGAACCAGUGCCUCGGAGUCAGUUAGACCUGAGUUCAAGUACUGCUUCUGCCACUUAUUAGCUGUGUGACUUACUGUGGAAACUUUGUAUGGACCAAACAAAACAACUGCCGCCUGGCUCCAGCCCAUCGGCUGUGGGUGUGAGAGCUGCGAGCCGUCUGUCAGCGUCCCGAGAUGGAGGAGAAGGACAUGCCAUGGGAUGGAGGAGGGGACGUCUCUGAGUGGAAGACCAGGGUGGUCCUGCCCAACAGCUGGCCUAAGUGGAAGCCAGCCUUUCCCCUGUCUGCUGAACUUGAUCAGCCAGACCAGUGGAGCUCAUGGUCAUUUAAGGUGCUGACUGGUACAGACAGCUCAUUGGGUGGCAGGCCACCCGGGGCCAAGAUGGUGCAGGCCUUCCAGGGGGGCCCUGGGAGCUAUUUUUAGUGGCCUGGGCUAACUCCCAAAUCUUCCUAUUUCUGGCAGCAGAAUCGUGCCCUGAAGGAUGUGGAAAAUUUUCAUAUUAAGAAUGUCUGGUUUCCCUUUGGCUAUGCAAGGGCAGAGUAGGGAGACCAGGACAAAGGGCUUGAGGCCCGAGGGCUUCUGGGAAAAUUCACCAGCACUGAGGGCAUGAAAUGGCCUUCUUCCUGCCCUUUGGACAGUGGCAUGGACUUUUAAAAAUGCCAGAGUCAUUAUGGGUAACCAUCUGUCCUGGUUUGCCUGGGCUGUCCCGGUUUUAGCAACAAAAGGGCAUUUGGGACAUCUUUCAGACCCAGGUAAACUGGGACAGCUGGUCAACCAAGCUCCGUUUCAACCUCUUUUAGUUCCAGAAGUGAAAUUAAUAAGAAUAAGAACUGAACUAUAUGUAUCGCCUUGCAGACUGUUUAUAAUCAUCCUAUGCCAUUAGUACUGUCAUCUCUAUUUUACACACAGGAAACUGAGGCACAGAGAGAUAAAGCAACCUGCCUAUUGCAGAACAGCUAGCUGAGUGGUGGAGCCAGGAUUUAAAUUCUGCUGUUCUGGGGCCAGAGCCCCCCCAUUAUGCUGCUCAGAAAUAGGAUGGUUUUGGACCCAGGAAAAUCUGGGUUCAUUCACUUU